rnacentral:rRNA from 1 species
UACAGAGGUCCCAAGCGUUGUUCGGAUUCACUGGGCGUAAAGGGUGCGUAGGAGGCUGGGAAAGUCGGAUGUGAAAUCUCACCGCUUAACGGUGAAACUGCAUUCGAUACUACUUAGCUAGAGGAUCGGAGGGGAGAGCAGAAUUCCUGGUGGAGCGGUGAAAUGCGUAGAUAUCAGGAGGAACGCCGGCGGCGAAAGCGACUCUCUGGCCUGUAACUGACGCUGAGGCGCGAAAGCUAGGGGAGCAAACGGG